CUGCUGCUGUUGCUGCUGCUGCUGCUGCUGCUGCUGCUGCUGCGGCAGAGCAGCAGCAGCAGCACUACUGCUGCUGCUGUGCUGCUGCUGCUGCUGCUGCUGCAGCCGCUGCUGCUAGCAGAGCAGCACAA